GACGAACGCUGGCGGCGUGCUUAACACAUGCAAGUCGAACGGAAAGGCCCUGCUUUUGUGGGGUGCUCGAGUGGCGAACGGGUGAGUAACACGUGAGUAACCUGCCCUUGACUUUGGGAUAACUUCAGGAAACUGGGGCUAAUACCGGAUAGGAGCUCCUGCUGCAUGGUGGGGGUUGGAAAGUUUCGGCGGUUGGGGAUGGACUCGCGGCUUAUCAGCUUGUUGGUGGGGUAGUGGCUUACCAAGGCUUUGACGGGUAGCCGGCCUGAGAGGGUGACCGGCCACAUUGGGACUGCGAUACGGCCCAGACUCCUACGGGAGGCAGCAGUGGGGAAUAUUGCACAAUGGGCGGAAGCCUGAUGCAGCAACGCCGCGUGCGGGAUGACGGCCUUCGAGUUGUAAACCGCUUUCGCCUGUGACGAAGCGUGAGUGACGGUAAUGGGUAAAGAAGCACCGGCUAACUACGUG
rnacentral:rRNA from 1 species